CGCCCGAGGAUGAGCCUGCGUCCGAUUAGCCAGUUGGUGGGGUAAAGGCCUACCAAAGCGACGAUCGGUAGCUGGUCUGAGAGGACGAUCAGCCACACUGGGAUUGAGAACGGCCCAGACUCCUACGGGGGGCAGCAGUGAGGAAUUUUCGUCAAUGGUCGCAAGACUGAACGAGCAACGCCGCGUGCAGGAAGACGGUUUUCGGAUCGUAAACUGCUUUUCUGUGGGAAGAGUGAGGACGGUACCACAGGAAGAAGCCCCGGCUAACUACGUGCCAGCAGCCGCGGUAAUACGUAGGGGGCGAGCGUUGUCCGGAGUUACUGGGCGUAAAGGGCGUGCAGGCGGUGCGGUAAGUUUGGAGUGACAGUCCCCGGCUUAACUGGGGAAGGCCUCUGAAAACUGCUGGACUUGAGGGCCAGAGAGGGACAUAGAAUUCCGGGUGGAGUGGUGAAAUGCGUAGAUAUCCGGAGGAAUACCAAAGGCGAAGGCAGUGUCCUGGCUGGCAACUGACGCUGAGGCGCGAAAGCUAGGGGAGCGAACAGGAUUAGAUACCCUGGUAGUCCUAGCCGUAAACGAUGACCACUAGAUGUGCGGGGUAUCGACCCCCUGCGUGUCGGAGUUAACAUAUUAAGUGGUCCGCCUGGGGAGUACGGUCGCAAGAUUAAAACUCAAAGGAAUUGACGG
rnacentral:rRNA from 1 species